rnacentral:misc_RNA from 1 species
AACGGUCUAUACCUGCGGUACCUGCGGAAGGAUCAUUAUAGAGUGGUAAACCUCCCGUAAAAAGGGGGGGACCUCCCGUCCUUUGCAGGCUCUUUUUUAAGGGGCUUUUUUGACUUUCUGCUUCGGUGGGGUUAUCCUACCGGAACAACUUCAAAACUCUGAAUCAAAAAAAUCGUUCUGUCCGAGGGCUUUUUUAUAAAAUAAAAAAAAACUUUCAACAACGGAUCUCUAGAUCGGAAG